CAAGGUUUCCGUAGGUGAACCUGCGGAAGGAUCAUUAUUGAAU
rnacentral:rRNA from 1 species